CUGACAAAAGCAUCUCUUGCCUCUCGUCAGUUUAGCAGUGGGAGAGGAGGGUAUGAGAGAGGGUGGGCACGGCGCCCAGUGACUCCACCUUGUCCAGUCAUGAAUAGUGUCUCUUUCUGUCUUCGACGAUGGUCCUUCAGACUCUUUGAAAGAGAAGAAUGGACCACGCUAAGUCUGCUCACAAGGGACAGAGGACACUGAUGCCACCCUCCUCCUGGCACAACGACACAGAUGCUGGUGUCCUGUAACAUCACAGGAUAUCAUUGGGUGUUGGGUGCAAUCAACCUGGCUCAGACUAGUAUUUGACUUUAAAGGGCCGUGAAGAGACGAAGGCGACAUGACUUCUCUGCAGUCUUAGUUUUCUGUUUUGAGACAAACGACGAGAUGAAACUGCGAGUUAGCCUCCCCCCCCAAAACACUGCAGGUUGCCAUGACGAUGCCAAGCACUUCCCCUCGACAACAACAGCGGCAUUCAACAGGCAGAUUUAGAACUCUGCAAAUACAGGCCGCAUUGGUGUUCACAGGCCAUAAACGGAUAUCAAUUUAAGGUGGUUUUGAUAAUCACCUCUACCUGAACAUCUGAACAACCUAAAACUCUAUUUUCCAAAUCUGGUGGAAACUAGCUCAAUGAGCAAGGCGUGAGAGCGUGUGUAGAAAGCUUUAGAUUCCCCAGAGGAGACGGCGCACAUAUUGAGAGGUGGGUCUACUCCCACCAGCAGCCAACAGCUUUACUCUAUUCACACUGACACAUUAGUAUUCUAAUGCCAGAGUGAAUAUGUAUGGCUGCCAUCGGGAGAAAGAGAUGGACAGGCCUGUGCCAGAGGAGCAGGAGAGAAGAUAAUGGAACACAGGGAAGGGUAAACAGAGGAUAGAGAGAGAGAGGAGCACUGAGACAUGGGAUGGGUUAUUAUAUGACUGACCUUUAUAGUGAAACUGUGAAUUGAUAAUGACGAAUCACCACAAAACAUGUUUUACAGUUUAAACCCCAUGAGCCUACUGUGUUCAUUAACAACCCAUGUAAACAUUCUCUCGCGUGACAAAAUCACUCCAAUAAAACUGUACCUGAGAGAAACUACAGAAAUAAAACAGUUCUGUGGAAAA